rnacentral:pre_miRNA from 1 species
AUGUAGGUCAAUCUGUCUUUAUCAGGCAUAAAUUACUCUAAAAGAAAUGAAUCCUAGAUAGUUUCCCCUUCAAGUCAAGAAUCUGA